rnacentral:lncRNA from 1 species
UUUUAAGGGGUAAAUACAAUAGAGUAUACAUAGUUAUGUGUUAAAUGAGGUUAUGCACUUUCUUUGUUGCCACCAUACGAACUACAUAUUAUGCAAUAACCAAUGAUGAUGUCCACAAGAUUCAAAUGUUUAUUGCAUAAAACAAUAGGAAACUGGAUAUUAGAAAAAGAAAUUAUAAGAUAGAAGCUUUUGUUACCUGGGGACAUACUCUGCGGACAUUGUUGGAGGCAAAGGAGAGAUUUCAGCAGUGGGACUUGAUUCAUCAGAUGGAGGAGGAGAGGACUGGGAAGGGGGCGCCAGAAAUGUGAUGUUCUCCCCAUAUAUCAGAACAAUUUAUUUACCAAAAUCCAAUCUUUUCAUCUUCACGAUCCUACACAACAAACCUAUUGGAGACAAUGAUGAGUGCAGUGAAUUUAUCAAAACAUUACUCACUGAUAAAUAACAAUAAAGAUGAAUCAAUGAUGAUGAAGAGUGUGAAAAUACCUCCUAAAGAGUAGUCACAUCCUUUCCAUUCUGAAAAUUUCCCAGGAAUAUGAUCCAAUACCCCUCAAGUGCUUCACAUAUCAAAAGAACAGACACAGGAAAAGCAUAGCAAUAAGUUUCAGUCAGAGCUAUCUUGAACACGGUUAUCAAAUGACUAGGUGUAUUAAAUGCUAUCCUGAACAAAUAGUUCUCUGAGAUUUUAGGUUUUACUGUAGUACCUACGAUCAUGACUCAACUAAAGUACCUACGAUCAAAAGUUAACAACUGUUAUCUACUCAGGUCAAGCCUAAAGUACUUCACUACCUCGACAACAAUUGACAAGAUAUCUAUGUGCACGAUAUACUUAUUAAAACUCAAGUUUGUUCUUCUAGACUGAACAAUGAUUAUCAGACAUAACACAUAAAAUAAAAAUGAUAAUAUAAUGUAAAGUACUGGUAAGAGAAAGCUUUUGGAAAAAUCAUAUAAGAAGUUAAGGAAGCAUCAGUUGUUAAAACCGUAUCAACACCAUACAAAAAUGCUCCUCCUACCAACAUACGUUCGAAAACAAUAAGCAAUGUCUAGAAUCAAGUCGAAUGUUUAACAUACCGGUAACAGAAAUUUCUGAGUUCCUCGACGGGGAUUUCCUUCCCUGAAUCCCGAUUUUCCUCAUUAGAAAACGGUAGGUCGCUUUAUGAGUAUAAAUCCCUAAUAGGUCUCUGUCGUAACACAAAGGAACUCGGGCGGUUGAUAGUCGUGCAAGAUAGUCGGCCCUAGGUGGUGACCCGGUGGUGGUGAGGUUCUGAUGGCGUUGUAUGAGAGGAAUUUUCACGAAAUGAAAUUAGAGGUGGCGUACGUUAUGGUGAGGUGGUU